GAUCCUGGCUCAAUAGUCGAAAUGCUGGAACCUCAGACGUUAGCGGCGAACGGGUGAGUAACACGUAAGGAAUCUACCUAUAAGCGGGGGAUAACAUUCGGAAACGGGUGCUAAUACCGCAUAAUAUCUUCUUCCGCAUGGAAGAAGAUUGAAAGACGGCUCUGCUGUCACUUAUAGAUGACCUUGCGGUGCAUUAGUUAGUUGGUGGGGUAAUGGCCUACCAAGACGAUGAUGCAUAGCCGACCUGAGAGGGUGAUCGGCCACAUUGGGACUGAGACACGGCCCAAACUCCUACGGGAGGCAGCAGUAGGGAAUCUUCCGCAAUGGGCGAAAGCCUGACGGAGCAAUGCCGCGUGAGUGAAGAAGGCCUUCGGGUCGUAAAACUCUGUUAUAAGAGAAGAACAAAUUGUAGAGUAACUGCUACAGUCUUGACGGUAUCUUAUCAGAAAGCCACGGCUAACUACGUGCCAGCAGCCGCGGUAAUACGUAGGUGGCAAGCGUUGUCCGGAUUUAUUGGGCGUAAAGGGAGCGCAGGUGGUUUCUUAAGUCUGAUGUGAAAGCCCACGGCUUAACCGUGGAGGGUCAUUGGAAACUGGGAAACUUGAGUACAGAAGAGGAAUGUGGAACUCCAUGUGUAGCGGUGGAAUGCGUAGAUAUAUGGAAGAACACCAGUGGCGAAGGCGACAUUCUGGUCUGUUACUGACACUGAGGCUCGAAAGCGUGGGGAGCAAACAGGAUUAGAUACCCUGGUAGUCCACGCCGUAUACGAUGAGUGCUAGGUGUUGGAGGGUUUCCGCCCUUCAGUGCCGCAGUUAACGCAUUAAGCACUCCGCCUGGAGAGUACGACCGCAAGGUUGAAACUCAAAGGAAUUGACGGGGA
rnacentral:rRNA from 1 species